rnacentral:rRNA from 1 species
AGCCGCCCGGAUCCACCCGGGGAGGGUCAUUAGAAACUGAGGAACUUGAGUGCAGAAGAGGAGAGUGUACUUCCACGUGUAGCGAUGAAAUGCGUAGAGAUGUGGACGAACACCAGUGGCGAAGGCGACUCUCUGGUCUGUAACUGACGAUGAGGAGCGAAAGCGUGGGGAGCGAACAGGAUUAGAUACCGUGGUAGUCCACGCCGUAAACGAUGAGUGCUAAGUGUUAGGGGGUUUCCGCCCCUUAGUGCUGCAGCUAACGCAUUAAGCACUCCGCCUGGGGAGUACGGUCGCAAGACUGAAACUCAAAGGAAUUGACGGGGGCCCGCACAAGCGGUGGAGCAUGUGGUUUAAUUCGAAGCAACGCGAAGAACCUUACCAGGUCUUGACAUCCUCUGACAAUCCUAGAGAUAGGACGUCCCCUUCGGGGGCAGAGUGACAGGUGGUGCAUGGUUGUCGUCAGCUCGUGUCGUGAGAUGUUGGGUUAAGUCCCGCAACGAGCGCAACCCUUGAUCUUAGUUGCCAGCAUUCAGUUGGGCACUCUAAGGUGACUGCCGGUGACAAACCGGAGGAAGGUGGGGAUGACGUCAAAUCAUCAUGCCCCUUAUGACCUGGGCUACACACGUGCUACAAUGGACAGAACAAAGGGCAGCGAAACCGCGAGGUUAAGCCAAUCCCACAAAUCUGUUCUCAGUUCGGAUCGCAGUCUGCAACUCGACU